CCACCGCCAAAUUCAUUUUAAGCAUUCAUUUCACCAAAGUUUUCAGAGAAAAACGUAGGAAAAAAGCUGAGAUAAGAAGUUUAAGGAGUUCAUGAAUUUUGAAGCUCCGGAAGAUCAAAUUUUUUAGAGGAUUCAUCAACUACAGCAAGCUACUGGUUUUUCAUUGAUUCCAAGCUGCACAAAGGGAGUUAGAAGUCGAGAUUGAUCAGGUGAAGGCCGAACUCUUGUUUCAUGCCCGAAUCUAGAGAGGUCUGGUGUUCUAAGUAGUUUGAAGCGUAGAAGUGGAAUCCGAAACUCAAAUUGGUCAGGAUAGAAAGCUUAUUCUUUUGCUCACAAUUUGAAUGAAGGACGUUUGAGCUGGAAAUGAUUGGAUUUAGGUGAAAUUUCAGGUGAGAGCUUGCUGGAAAUGCAAAUUGGAAGUAAUCUCGGAUUUGAGGGAAUUUUGGAAAAAUCCAUUGAGUUUUAUGUCUUCACAUCGUCAUGUAAGUUGUAGAGACUUGAAAAUAAAGAGUUGGACAUAAAUCCCAUUCAAUUUGGUUAAAAAUUGAGUAAGUUAUGAGCGGCUGAAGUUGGAGUUGUGAAUCUGAAAAUAAUUUGGAAAUUUAUGGGGAGUUUAAUUAACUA